GACCCGAUUAGCAGCUUCCGGGAAACCAAAGUUUUUCGUUUCCGGGGGAAGUAUGGUUGCAAAGCUGAAACUUAAAGGAAUUGACGGAAGGGCACCACCAGGAGUGGAGCCUGCGGCUUAAUUUGACUCAACACGGGAAAACUCACCCGGCCCGGACACCGUAAGGAUUGACAGACUGAGAGCUCUUUCUUAAUUCGGUGGGUGGUGGUGCAUGGCCGUUCUUAGUUGGUGGAGCGAUUUGUCUGGUUAAUUCCGAUAACGAACGAGACUCUGGCCUAUUAAAUAGACGAUAUAUUUAAAAGUAUAUCGCGCUUCUUAGAGGGACAAGCGGCGUCUAGCCGCAUGAAAUAGAGCAAUAACAGGUCUGUGAUGCCCUUAGAUGUCCGGGGCUGCACGCGCGCUACACUGAAAGAAUCAGUGUGCGUUACGCCUAGUUCGGAAGAACCGGGUAACCCAAGUAAAUUCUUUCGUGCUUGGGAUAGGGAAUUGCAAUUAUUUCCCUUAAACGAGGAAUUCCCAGUAAAUGCGGGUCAUAAGCUCGCGUUG
rnacentral:rRNA from 1 species